CUACGUGCCAGCAGCCGCGGUAAUACGUAGGUGGCAAGCGUUGUCCGGAAUUAUUGGGCGUAAAGCGCGCGCAGGCGGAUUGGUCAGUCUGUCUUAAAAGUUCGGGGCUUAACCCCGUGAUGGGAUGGAAACUGCCAAUCUAGAGUAUCGGAGAGGAAAGUGGAAUUUCUAGUGUAGGAGUGAAAUCCGUAGAUAUUAGAAGGAACACCGAUAGCGUAGGCAGGUUACUGGGACAGUUCUGACACUAAGGCACGAAAGCGUAGGGAGCAAACGGGAUUAGAUACCCCGGUAGUCUACGCCGUAAACGAUGGAUACUAGCAGUUUUGGGUAUCGACCCCCGGAGUUGCGAAGCUAACGCGUUAAGUAUCCCACCUGUGUAGUACGAUCGCAAGAUUAAAACAUAAAGGAAUUGACGGGGACCCGCACAAGCGGUGGAGCGUGAUCUUUAAUUCGUCGGUAAACGAUAAACCUU
rnacentral:rRNA from 1 species